CGCACGGUGGCGUAGUGGUUAGCAUGUUCGUUCACACUGCCAGGCUCGGGGGUUCGAGUCCCACCUGGGCCU